GACGAACGCUGGCGGCGUGCUUAACACAUGCAAGUCGAACGGAAAGGCCCUGCUUUUGUGUGGUGCUCGAGUGGCGAACGGGUGAGUAACACGUGAGUAACCUGCCCUUUACUUUGUGAUAACUUCAGGAAACUGGGGCUAAUACCGGAUAGGAGCUCCUGCUGCAUGGUGGGGGUUGGAAAGUUUCGGCGGUUGGGGAUGGACUCGCGGCUUAUCAGCUUGUUGGUGGGGUAGUGGCUUACCAAGGCUUUGACGGGUAGCCGGCCUGAGAGGGUGACCGGCCACAUUGGGACUGAGAUACGGCCCAGACUCCUACGGGAGGCAGCAGUGGGGAAUAUUGCACAAUGGGCGGAAGCCUGAUGAAGCAACGCCGCGUGCGGGAUGACGGCCUUCGGGUUGUAAACCGCUUUAGCCUGUGACGAAGCGUGAGUGACGGUAAUGGGUAAAGAAGCACCGGCUAACUACGUG
rnacentral:rRNA from 1 species